ACGAGUGGCGGACGGGUGGGUAAUGUCUGGGAAACUGCCUGGUGGAGGGGGAUAACUACUGGAAACGGUAGCUAAUACCGCAUAACGUCGCAAGACCAAAGAGGGGACCUUCGGGCCUCUUGCCAUCGGAUGUGCCCAGAUGGGAUUAGCUAGUAGGUGGGGUAACGGCUCACCUAGGCGACGAUCCCUAGCUGGUCUGAGAGGAUGACCAGCCACACUGGAACUGAGACACGGUCCAG
rnacentral:rRNA from 1 species